UACGAAGGGGGCUAGCGUUGUUCGGAAUUACUGGGCGUAAAGCGUGCGCAGGCGGCUUCUCAAGUCAGGGGUGAAAGCCCAGAGCUCAACUCUGGAAUUGCCUUUGAGACUGAGUGGCUUGAGUACGAGAGAGGUGAGUGGAAUUCCCAGUGUAGAGGUGAAAUUCGUAGAUAUUGGGAAGAACACCGGUGGCGAAGGCGGCUCACUGGCUCGUAACUGACGCUCAUGCACGAAAGCGUGGGGAUCAAACAGG
rnacentral:rRNA from 1 species